rnacentral:rRNA from 1 species
GACGAACGCUGGCGGCGUGCUUAACACAUGCAAGUCGAACAGUGGCGAACGGGUGAGUAACACGUGAGUAACCUGCCCUCCACUUUGGGAUAACUCCGAGAAAUCGGGGCUAAUACUGGAUCGUGGGGGAUGGGCUCGCGGCCUAUCGGUUUGUUGGUGGGGUAGUGGUCACCAAGGCGUGACUGGUAGUCGGCCUGCGAGGUGGACCGGCCACACGGGGACUGAGACACGGCCCAGACGCGUACGGGGGGCAGGAGUGGGGAAUAUUGCACAAUGGGUGAAAGCCUGAUGCAGAGACGCCGCGUGUGGGAUGAAGGUCUUCGGGUUGUAAACCGCUUUCAGCAAGGAAGCGGUACAUGCAGAAGAAGCGCCGGCUAACUACGUGCCAGCCGCCGCGGUAAUAG